AACGGCCGUACCAUGCUGAAUAUACCGGUUCUCGUUAGAUCACCGAAGUCAAGCAUCAUUGGGCGCGGUCAGUACUUGGGUGGGUGACCACCUGGGAACACUGCGUGCCGCUG
rnacentral:rRNA from 1 species